AAUUUGUGGGCAAAACAUUUUGCAGCCCUGUUACAGCGUGUCGGUAUUAACUUAUCGGCUAAACGCGUUUUUGGUAUUUUUAUUUGCAACGAUAUUUAUCGUCCUGCAUUACUCAUCUUUAGGAGCAGCAUCAAUGGCAGCGUUUCCUGAGUUUUGGCCCAGUAAUCCGCCGUGGGAACCUGCGUCUUAUUGAAAACAGUGGUAACUUCCUCUGUGGCGGCUAUCGCGCGUCAUGCAUCUCACUCAGCUGGCAGGUACGCUUAUGAUGGAUGGCCACUCGGGCAAUUCAGGAAGUGAGGGGAGCCCACAUGAAGCUGCUGGGCUAUACCGUCGCUCAUGCCAAUUAGUGGUUUGGCUCAGUGGAUCGUCGUGGAGCAGAUCAUCUUAUCUGAGUAUUGCAUGUCAGCUGGCUUGGCAGCCGCAGCAACGCAUUGGGUGGCCCGCAGUACAGGCCGGUUGCAGUUCAGGGUGCUAGGUGGAGCCCACAAGGAGCUGCUGAGCUGUUGCAUAUUUUGUUCGAGUGGGCGAUGCCGAUGCCGUCGCUCACUGCAAAUUGUGUAUUUAACCAGGAGGCCAUCGUGGGGCGUAUCAUCUUCUUGUUUGACCAGGAAUUGUUUGUAUGGGCGAUGCCGGAGCAGUCGCCCACUCCAAGUUGGGUAUUCAACCAGCAGGCCGUCGUGGAGCAUGUCAUCUUUUGGACAGCGCAUUUUCGUCGUGAUUUGGAAGCGUCCAGCGUCGUCUCUCACACGCCACGCAGCUUGGCCAGAAAUUGUUUGACUGGGCGAUACCGAAGCAAUCGCUCACCUCAAAUUGAGUACUGGGCCCAGUCGACCGUCAUAGGCGCAUCGUCUUUAUUUGCAGGACAGCACUUAGUGUCAUGGUUUGGAAACAUCCGUUGGCGUCUCUCACUCGCCACGAAGCUUGCCAGUAAUUGCAUGUCAGUUGGCUUGGCGGUCACAGUAACGCAUUCAAUCGGCUCAAUAGUAAUGGAUGGCCUGGAAGCAGGCCGGUAGCGAUUCAGAUUGCUAGAUGGAGCCCAACAGGAGCUGCUGAGCUGUUGCCCACUUUGUUUGAGAGGGCGGUGCCGGAGCUGUCGCUCACUCCAGGUUGAGUAUUUAGCCAGCAGGCCGUCGUGGAGCAUGUCAUCUUCUUGGACAGCGCAUCAUCUUCGUGAUUUGGAAAUAUCUGGUGGCGUCUCUCACACGCCACGCAGCUUGACCAGGAAUUGUUUGUAUGAGCGAUACCGAAGCAGUCGCUCACUUCAAAUGAGUAUUUGGCCCAAUUUACCGUCGUGGGUGCAUCGUCUUCUUGGGCAGCAGUUCUGCGUCUUGCUUUAGAAACAUUCAUUGUCGUCUCUCACACUCCACAAUCCGUCCAGUAGUUGCAUGUCAGCAGACCCGGGUGGCCCGCAAACAGGCCGGUUGCAGUUCAGGAUGCUAGAUGGAGCCCACAAGGAGCUGCUGGGCUGUUGAAUACCUUGUUCGAGUGGGCGAUGCCGAGGCCGUCGCUCACUCCAAAUUGAGUUCCCAAACCUUGCUUGCAGGACAGCGCAUCAUCGUCGCGGUUUGGAAACAUCCAGUGGCGUCUCUCACACGCCAUGCAGUUUGGCCAGGAAUUGUUUGAAUGGGCGAUACCGAAGCAGUCGCCCACUCUAAAUUGGGCAUUCGACCAGCAGGCCGUCGUGGAGCAUGUCAUCUUUUGGACAGCGCAUCAUCAUUCGUGAUUUGGAAAUAUCUGGUGGCGUCUCUCACACGCCACGCAGCUUGUCCAGAAUUUACAUAUCAGUCGACUUGGUAGUCACAGCAGCGUAUUAAAUCGGCUCCGUUGUACUUGAUGGCAUGCAAGCAGGCUGUUUGCGUUUCAGGAUGCUGGAUGAGCCCACAAAGAGCUGCUGAGCUGUUGCAUAUUUUGUUUGAGUGGGCGAUGCCGAGGCACUCGCUCACUCCAAAUUGAGAAUUUGGCCCAGUUGGCCGUCGUGGGCGCAUCGUGUUCUUGGUCAGCACUUCUGUGUCGUGGUUUGGAAACAUCUAUUGGCGUCUCUCAGACUCCACAAUUUGUCGAGGAAUUGCAUGUCAGCUGACUUGGCGGCAAAGUAUUAAAUCGGUUCCGUUAUGAGUCAGGAUGUUGGAUGGAGCCCACAAGGAGCAGUUGAGCUAUUUCAUAUUUGUUUUGAUCAUCUUGGGAGCUUGCGACUUCCAUGUCUUCAUUUAGAACGCGUUCCAAUGUUAACCGGACUCUCUGGAGGCCAUGCUCCAGGAGUGUUUCGUGGCUGAUGGCUGUAUUUAUCUGGGUGUGUUGUAGUUGCGGCUGCUGUGGUUGCGUCAGCGAUUGCAGGUUUCCUGUCCCCUGAGGUGAUGUCGUUAGCUGCUGUUGUGGCGUUACUGAUGCCUGUUGAGUCUGCAUUGGUAGAGUAUGCUGUGUUUGAUGAUUCUGCUGCCUCUCGUCCACAUAGUCUGGUAGGAUUAAUCGCUGGAUUGUUGGGGGUUGGCCUUGGAUGUUAGCCACUAGCUCUUCACGUGUAUUUGCUGGAGUUGGUGCCUGGCCUGGAUGACAGUCGUCGUUAGCUGAGUUUGUUGGAGUUGCGGCUGCUGUAGCUGCGGUUGCAACUGCGGAUUCACUGACUCCUGAGUUGGCGUAGUUAGCUGCUGUUGUUGCUGCGUUGAUGGUGCCUGUUGCAUCUGCAUUGGCAGAGCUUGCUGUGUUUGAUGAUCCUGCUGCCUCUCGUCCACAUAGUCUGGUAGGAUUAAUCGCUGGAUUGUUGGAGGUUGGCCUUGGAUGUUAGCCACUAGCUCUUCACGGGUAUUUGCUGGAGUUGGUGCCUGGCCUGGAUGACAGUCGUCGUUAGCUGAGUUUGUUGGAGUUGCGGCUGCUGUAGCUGCGGUUGCAACUGCGGAUUCACUGACUCCUGAGUUGGCGUAGUUAGCUGCUGUUGUUGCUGCGUUGAUGGUGCCUGUUGCAUCUGCAUUGGCAGAGCUUGCUGUGUUUGAUGAUCCUGCUGCCUCUCGUCCACAUAGUCUGGUAGGAUUAAUCGCUGGAUUGUUGGGGGUUGGCCUUGAAUAUCUGCCACUACCUCUUCACGGGAGGCGGCCGAUUAGGUUGCUGGAUCUGUUGCCUUGCCUGGAUUUCGGCCAAUCUCUCAUUUUCUCGCCUCUCUAGCUCUUCUUCUUGAAGCCGGAGGAGUGUUGGAAGCUGCUCUCUAAAUUGCAUCCUUUGUUGUGCUUGUUGUGCUUGGUGAGCAGUGUGCUGUGUGUGCGGUGGCUGUGCUUGGCGCUGUUGCGGUCCAUGAUGAUUCUGAAGCGGUCGUAUGUGUUGUUGUAAUUGCUGCAUGUAGCGGGGCCUCAGUAGGCGCUGUGGCUCAAAUGGGUGCUCUAGCAGGUUUCGUGCCUCAGGGUUUGCAUGUCUGACCAACGAGUUUGCAAAGCGGUCACUUGCCAAGUGAAAGACUUCGUCAACAGUUUUAAGGCAUCGCUGAAUUCGUUGUAACUGUGUGUCCGAUGUGAGCGCCCCCCAGACAGGGAGACCGUAUUGCCAGAUUGGUAUGAUGAGCUGCUUGAUGAGUACCGCUUUGCAGUCCUUUGCCAGUCUGCUGUUGGGACCAAGGAGCCACAUCAGUUUGGAUGCUCUUGCUCUCAGCUUGUUACUUAGUGGCGAAGGUAUUCCUCGUUCUGUCCGACAGCCCCCGAGGGAAGCGCAGAGGCACACAUGAUCACUGUAUCGUCGGCGUAUGUUGAUAACAGCAUUUGAUUUUGGCUGGGCGCAAAGUAUGUGCGUCUCAUGAGCGAUGGGAGGGGCAUAUCCGACGAGUAAAUUGUGUACAGAAUUGGGCCCAGCACACUGCCCUGGGGCACGCCGGCAGCAACUCGACCUGUUCUAGAUUUGACACCGUCGUUGCAGUUUACUACGAAGGUGCGCUCGCAUAGCAGGCCGUCAUGCCACACGCGGUCAAAGGCUUCCGAGAUAUCUAUAUAGACCGCUGAGCAGAAAUGUCGCUCUUCGUAUGCGCGUAAUAUAAAUUGCGUAACGCGGGCCAGUUGCUGCUCAGUGCCGUGUUCUCGCCUGAAGCCAAAUUGAUGGCUUGGCAUUGCCCUGGCAAAAUCCUGGACUUCGAAGAGCCUUGACAUUAAGAGCUUCUCGAAGAUCUUUGAUAGGCCCGAUAAGAGGCUGAUUGGACGAUAUGAUGUUGCUUCAGCUGUGCUUUUACCAGGCUUGGGAAUCAUAGUUAUGCCAGCGUGUUUCCAUUUGCUUGGGAAAUGCCCUAACCUUAGGCUAGAGUUGUAGAUUAGCAGCGACUUCGUUACCACUAGUGCAUCAAUUUCUAGCUUUAGUUCAUUGAGCGUGAUUGGCCUAAUAGUCUGCUGUAGCUCCUGGUCUGUUUGUUGCUGCUGGAGUUUCUGCUGCUUCAGUUGUCUCCAUUCCUGACGAAUUUCUGCACGCUCCUCAGACGAAUUAGAGAAAUUUGGACUGAAUCUUUCUUCAAGGUGGGCGACGAAAGCCUCCGCUUUUUCGGCAGUAGUUUUCGUCCAUAUUACGUUUGGAUUUGUCGCACGCCUCGCGCCCCCAUUGCCAACAUUAGCCUGUAUUGUUUUUAUUGGCCAAUUGGGCUGCGGCUGUUUUUUAAGCUUGUUGCUGGAUUAGUGCCUUCUUCAACUUAUUUUGUGCAGACCUAUAUUGUUGCCUUGCCUCUGGAGUUCGUGUCGCCAUUAAAAUCUGCUUGCAUCUCUGUUUCUCCGAUAAUAGUCUUCUGGUUGGCUCGUCCAGUUCAAGAUCGUGCCUGCGGUGGGCCCGGUGGCUAAGCUGGUUUCCUAUCUGCCUGUGUGCUGCUGCAUCUGCCGCUAUUUGAACGUUGCGUACGAAGAUGUUCACUGCAUCGUCGAUGUCCAGGCCACUGCGGAUCUCGGUGUUUAAGUGGAUUUGCUGGUCAAGAAGCUCCUGAAAACGAUGCGUAUUGGCUCCAUUAGGGGCAGGUGGUCCGAGUCCAGGUCCGUAGAGGAGUGGAUUCGAAGUCGAUUGCUAUCUAGCCCACCGUAGACUGCGAGGUCAAUUGCUGAUGGUCUUUUCCUCCUAUCGUACGGGUAGUGCGUUGCUCCGCCGGUGGCCAGAACAUUAUAUCGACUUUGCGUGUGAAUUGCUUCGAAGAGCGCUUUGCCUCUGUGACAGGCGCGCGGGUUUCCCCACCAUGAGUGCUGGGCAUUCCAGUCACCGCAGAGGAGAAAGUUAGAUGAAGCCAGUUCUGUGAUUUUGUCAAAAUGUCUGAACAGUUUUGUGAAGUGUUCGACUGACCAUUUGAACACUGGGGGGCAGUAUAUUGGCGCAAUUAUAAUUAUUUCCCUUUUAUUCUCAUUUUCAGGAAGUAAGGCAACAGGCAUAAUCUGGAGGAAGUUCUCGGACAUUGGAUGAAGGGCGGCAUGUCUAAUGUCGUUUCGUACAAAGAUAGCGACUCCACCUCUCCGAUACGUGUGUGGAUUGGUUGUACUGUAUGUGUGGUAGCCGUCCAUGCUUAGUAUGCUGGCGUCAGAUGGAACCCGAGUUUCGAUGACCAUCAUAAUUUGGAUGGACUCGCGUCGCAUGUACAGCUCUAGCUCUGUCAUUUUGUUGCCUAUACCACAUGCAUUCCAGAAAGCAAUUUUAAGUGGGUUGCUAUUCUGGCCGCUCCUGUGGAUGGUCACAUGUGGAUUUGCUGUACUAAUUGGCGCACUGUUGUGGACAUUUUCAGCUGAGGAAGUAGUGGCUAUGGUCAAUUGAGAGUCGGUACUGCUGUGAGUACGACUAUACAUAUUUAGUGACGUCAUUGGCGAUGGCAGCUUCCCUAGAGCAGUCCAUUUGGGCUGCUUUGCUGUCUGUUUGUUGAUGGGCUAUGUUUGGGAACACAUGAUUAUUGGUGUUUGUUGUAUUGUUUUCAUUAUGGAUGGUAAUGAAUUGCACAAGGACAUUUAAUAGAGUGUCUAUUCUUUUUUCCAUGCGACUAAACAUUGCCAUGUUUUGUUCUAAUGUCUGGAGUAUAGUGCU